rnacentral:tRNA from 1 species
GGCGAGGUGGCAGAGUGGUCUAAUGCGCUAGACUAGAAAUCUAGUUCCUUCGGGAGCGUGUGUUCGAAUCACACCCUCGUCG